UGCCGGAAGUUACUGCUAUCGGGGUUCGANNNNNNNNUGCGAGACGAAUGUAGCAAUACAUGGCGUACUGCUCAGUAACACGUGGACAACCUACCCUUGGGCCGGGGAUAAACCCGGGAAACUGGGUAUAAUACCCGAUAGAUCUGAGAUGCUGGAAUGCACCCAGAUUGAAAGCUCCGGCGCCUAAGGAUGGGUCUGCGGCCUAUCAGGUAGUAGUGGGUGUAGCGUACCUACUAGCCUACGACGGGUACGGGUUGUGAGAGCAAGAGCCCGGAGAUGGAUUCUGAGACACGAAUCCAGGCCCUACGGGGUGCAGCAGGCGCGAAAACUUUACAAUGCUGGCAACAGCGAUAAGGGAACCUCGAGUGCCAGGUUACAAAUCUGGCUGUCGUGAUGCCUAAAAAGCAUCGCAUAGCAAGGGCCGGGCAAGACCGGUGCCAGCCGCCGCGGUAACACCGGCGGCUCGAGUGGUAACCGUUAUUAUUGGGUCUAAAGGGUCUGUAGCCGGCCGGAUAAGUCUCUUGGGAAAUCCGGCAGCUCAACUGUCGGGCUUUCAGGAGAUACUGUCUGGCUCGAGGCCGGGAGAGGUGAGAGGUACUUCNAGGGGUAGGGGUGAAAUCUUGUAAUCCUUGAAGGACCAC
rnacentral:rRNA from 1 species